GAUGAAGAACGUAGCGAAAUGCGAUACUUGGUGUGAAUUGCAGAAUCCCGUGAACCAUCGAGUCUUUGAACGCAAGUUGCGCCUCAAGCCAUUAGGUUGAGGGCACGUCUGCCUGGGCGUCACAUAUCGUUGCCUGAUGCCAGUUUCCUCGUGAUGGGUGACUGUGCAGGGCGAAUGAUGGCUUCCCGUGAGCAUUGUUGCCUCAUGGUUGGUUGAAAAUUGAGUCCUUGGUAGGGAGCGCCGUGAUAGAUGGUGGAUGAGUGACGAACGAGACCCAAUCAUGUGAGACCCCUACCGAAUUUGGCCUUCAUGACCCACAUGCGUCUUUGGAACGCUCAUCACGAGACCUCAGGUCAGGCGGGGCUACCCGCUGAGUUUAAGCAUAUCAAUAAGCGGAGGA
rnacentral:misc_RNA from 1 species